rnacentral:rRNA from 1 species
AUGGACGAACACCACUGCUUGUGCACGCCUCUGGAUUCGUCCAAGUCCGAUGAUGUUUUUGUACAACUACGCUGCGGAGACCAAGACCACCAAGUCCGCACGGGAGCCCGAACGACUACUUCCACGAUGAUGCGAGUACAAGUACCCUCUUCGUGGUUUUCGCCAAGUACCGCACCGGACGCCAAGUGCCCCUUCCAGUUGACAAGACCGGCAAGCCCGACGACCUCGGACAUCUACGAAAAUGUGUACAACUACCGUUGCUGUGAUUUUGACAAGACGUCAUGUACCUCUACUUCCACUACGACACGAGUACAACUACUUCCACUACGACCGCUGCAAGAACGACUACUUCCUCUACGUCGUACCGAACCCGAACCGCUCCAAAAUGCACGCUUCGAAGGUAUAAUUCCGAGAUGA